rnacentral:rRNA from 1 species
UACGGAGGGAGCUAGCGUUGUUCGGAAUUACUGGGCGUAAAGCGCGCGUAGGCGGCUUUGUAAGCUAGAGGUGAAAGCCCGGGGCUCAACUCCGGAACUGCCUUUAAGACUGCAUCGCUUGAAUCCGGGAGAGGUGAGUGGAAUUCCGAGUGUAGAGGUGAAAUUCGUAGAUAUACGGAGGAACACCAGAGGCGAAGGCGGAUCGCUGGGCCAACACUGACGCUGAUGUGCGAAAGCUAGGGGAGCAAACGGG